UUCCUUUCAUUUCUUGCUACCUUCUCAUUCUGGAGGAAACCUGAGUUUGUGAAACUUCUUUGGAGUUCAUUUCAGUACCAAGGACCAUUUGUAAGUGUCCUUAACCUCCUAAUCAUAGUUUUGAUUAGUUUAAUGACCUAAAGUCAACCUUAUCAUAAUUAAGGAUUGACUUAGUGAUUAAUCACUAAUGGUAAUAAACCCCUUAGAGGGCACCUACUGAUUAGCAACCUAACUUGGUCAAAUGUCGGGUCAAACUUGAUAUUAAAAAGUCAACAGGAAACUAAUUUUGCAAAUAAAACUAUAAUUAGCAAUAUAGAAGCUAUGAAACCUGUUUUAACACUAAAAUAACUUGGUAAUUAAGUUAAGAACAUGUCUAAGCAUGUUCCACCCGACAAUUCUAAGUAUAGGCUCGGUUCGGAACCAAAAGUCGCAAAAGUUGACUUUUGCUUUGACUUUCAGUUCUGGCCCGAUUUAGCUUAGUUUAGAUAUGCCUUAGGAUUCCAUUAGGACCAUAUUAUAGGUUAGUAUAACCCUCCGAGGUUAUACAAUUUGGUUCCAUAGAAAUCCAAAUCCUAGUUCAUGCAGGUUUCCGUUAAAUGCCUAAAUAUUGACCGUUAUGCCCUUUUGACCCUAAAACGAGAAAUUUGAAAAUGUGAGAGGACGAUAAUCUUCAUUACUGAUUUAUAAACUUGUACUUAAAUUUGACAUCAGUUUGAGAUCUAGGUUAGGAGUUAUGCUCAAUAGCGUAAUUAGAAAGCUUUUUGUUAAUUAAACGGCAUAAUUAGCGUAUAGCCUAUCUAAACCCAAUUUUUGAUACCAAACUUUUUACCUACUGAUAUAAAAUAAUAUUUUGGGAUUUUUAAGGAUUUUUAUUUAUUUUUAGGUUGAGCAUAACAUAGGGUUCUAGCUUUAAUUCGGUAAAUCCUUUUGACCCCAAACCUUUUUUCUACUGAUCUAAUAUGAUAAAUACAAUAUUUUGAGCCUUCUGGAAUAAUAAAAAUAUCAGCUUUCCUUAGAAAAUCCGGAAAUGGCUCCAAAUCGUCUUUUUAAGCGUUUUUAACGCAUAGUAUAUAUUAAAAACAUCUUAAGCAUAUAAGAGUUGAUGCCUCCUGAUAUUUUAAGUGAAUUUAUAUAUUUUAAAGUUAAGGAAAAGUUUUAAACUCAGAUUUCCAGUUUUGACCUUUUAAGCUUAUGUGAAAUUACCAAAAUGCCCCUACGGUGCAUAGUUUGGUUAUAAGUAGUAAAUUUCACAUAUAUGCUAUACCCUACUGUUAUAACUUAGUAAACUAAGUAUUUUUACUGAUUAUAUCAGACCUGGAACUCAGAAUGAUAUUUAAACUCUCUUAUAACUUUUAAAAUGACCAAAAUACCCCUACGGGGCAUAAAUUGAUCUUAAACUCGUUUUGGGCAUAAUGGAAGGUAUCCUACUGAUAUCACAACAUAUUUAAGGCAUAUUAGCUUAGGAAACCUGUUCAUGACUCUUGUGUUUACCCGUUACGCCCUUUUCGCGUUGGGAUCGGCUUAUGUAACUAGUUUGCAUAAAUUAGCCGAAACGGGUCAAACCUUAUCAUUUUGAUAUCAAAAUCCAGAAUGUGUUUAGUUUACCCAUAUUAAACAAGUAUACAAGCUUGUCGGGUCUAAACCACAUUCUAAUCCGGUCUUCGCAUAAUCAUGCGUUUUGAACCGUAUCUUCCUUUAAAACUAACCGGUCUAAGCUUAGGCUUAAUUAAAGACCCGUUAGGAAUCUAAUAGGU
rnacentral:lncRNA from 1 species